AACAAACGCUGGCGGCGUGCCUAACACAUGCAAGUCGCGCGAGAAAGUCCCCUUCGGGGGGCGAGUAAAGCGGCGAAAGGGUGAGUAACACGUGGGUAAUCUGCCCUUGGAACCGGGAUAACUUGCCGAAAGGCGGGCUAAUACCGGAUAAGACCAUGCGGACUGAUGUCCGUGCGGUAAAAGGUGGCCUCUCGACGAAGCUAUCAUCAAAGGAUGAGCCCGCGGCCUAUUAGCUAGUUGGUGGGGUAAUGGCCUACCAAGGCGAUGAUGGGUAGCCGGCCUGAGAGGGUGUACGGCCACACUGGAACUGAGACACGGUCCAGACUCCUACGGGAGGCAGCAGUGGGGAAUUUUGCGCAAUGGGGGAAACCCUGACGCAGCAACGCCGCGUGAGUGAUGAAGGCCUUCGGGUUGUAAAGCUCUUUUGGUGGGAAAGAAUCGCGUCGGUGCUAAUAUCACCGGCGCCUGACGGUACCCACAGAAAAAGUUCCGGCUAACUCCGUGCCAGCCGCCGCGGUAAGAC
rnacentral:rRNA from 1 species